rnacentral:lncRNA from 1 species
AUGCUGGUGGCAGAUGCUUUAAGACUCGGAGGCGCAAUUUUGAGCGUCUACCCAGAUAUGUUGGCCCCUCAACUGAUUGGACGUCUCCUUCCUGAAAUUGGAUCGAAUCCCAACGUCAAAAGCCUCUUGAGAGAGUGCGAUGAUAAGGGUCCUGAAAACUGUGCUUUGCUGCCGUUCUACCACUGUCUGCAUACACCAGGUGGACCUUUAAAGUAUUCUUUGGAAGGCCAUCAAUUCGCUGUCUUUGAUUUCUGCCUGACCGCCGACUACAGAUACAUUGUUUCGAUCUCGAAUAAGUUCAUCACUUGGGACCUUUCGACAAGUGAUAUGACAAGAGACGUGAAUCCUGGCCUCGAGGGUAUUAUGCAAAAGCUGUGCCUCAGUCCGGACAAUCGAUUCGCCGCUGCUUACACCAAUAACAAUCAAACAGUGUUACUGAACUGCUUGACCAGUGAAUUCAUCGUGAUCAACAAUCCUUUAUCAGAAAAUGAAAAUGUGGAAGGAGUCUUUCUUCUGAAUGCACAUUUGUUUUGGUCCCAGGUUUGUAUCCCGGUGGUGGCGACAAAUUUUCAGGGAGCUGACGGGCGGAUCUGCGGAAACAGACUCCACACGGCGUGAAUCCCUGAAAAUGUCAAUGUCUGGAGCAUAUGUGCCAACCUUAACUCUUCAAGUGCAGUGGCUGUUUGUUUAGUAGCUAAGGCAGGGUGGCAAGCGUCAGAGAAAACCGGGAAAAGUCAGGAACUUUCGUGUCCGGUCAGGGAAUUUUCACGUAUGAACAAUUGAAUACAGUGCGUGAUAAGCAAUACCGCGCUACGCCGCACAGUGGGAAAAAACAGACCCUGGGGCGGCGUAAAAUCUGUAACUCGGAGGGAAAUGCAUAUUUUUGCUAUUUUCGGAUUUCCGCUAUAUUGAUAGGUAAACUUAAAACUUCUUGUCAUCUUCCUUCAAAAAUUCCAAGAAUUUUUCAUUUUCCUUACUUUCGUGGUGAUACAGUUGAACUCUAACUUUUAACACGUCCUU